rnacentral:rRNA from 1 species
AUUGAACGCUGGCGGCAGGCCUAACACAUGCAAGUCGAGCGGAUGAAGGGAGCUUGCUCCUGGAUUCAGCGGCGGACGGGUGAGUAAUGCCUAGGAAUCUGCCUGGUAGUGGGGGAUAACGUCCGGAAACGGGCGCUAAUACCGCAUACGUCCUGAGGGAGAAAGUGGGGGAUCUUCGGACCUCACGCUAUCAGAUGAGCCUAGGUCGGAUUAGCUAGUUGGUGGGGUAAAGGCCUACCAAGGCGACGAUCCGUAACUGGUCUGAGAGGAUGAUCAGUCACACUGGAACUGAGACACGGUCCAGACUCCUACGGGAGGCAGCAGUGGGGAAUAUUGGACAAUGGGCGAAAGCCUGAUCCAGCCAUGCCGCGUGUGUGAAGAAGGUCUGCGGAUUGUAAAGCACUUUAAGUUGGGAGGAAGGGCAGUAAGUUAAUACCUUGCUGUUUUGACGUGACCAACAGAAUAAGCACCGGCUAACUUCGU